rnacentral:rRNA from 1 species
UAGUCCACGCCCUAAACGAUGAGGACUGGCUGUUGGCGCUAUAGACGCGUCGGUAGCGAAGCUAACGCGUUAAGUUCUCCGCCUGGGGAGUACGACCGCAAGGUUGAAACUCAAAGGAAUUGACGGGGGCCCGCACAAGCGGUGGAGCAUGUGGUUUAAUUCGAUGAUACGCGAGGAACCUUACCAGGGCUUAAAUGUAGAUUGCAUUAGCUAGAGAUAGCUAUUUCUUCGGACUAUCUACAAGGUGCUGCAUGGUUGUCGUCAGCUCGUGCCGUGAGGUGUCAGGUUAAGUCCUAUAACGAACGCAACCCCUGUUGUUAGUUGCCAGCAUGUAAAGAUGGGAACUCUAACAAGACUGCCGGUGCAAACCGUGAGGAAGGUGGGGAUGACGUCAAAUCAUCACGGGCCCUUACGUCCUGGGGCUACACACGUGCUACAAUGGUAGGGGACAGAGAGCAGCCACUUCGCGAGAAGGGAGCGAAUCUAUAAACCCUAUCACAGUUCGGGA